rnacentral:tRNA from 1 species
AAAGAAAUAUUUUUAAAAGCUUCUAACUUUUUAUCAAGCAUAAAUAUGUUUAU